rnacentral:rRNA from 1 species
GGUGUCUAGUAUAAGCAAUCUAUACUGGUGAAACUGCGAAGGGUUACAUUAAAUCAGUUAUCGUUAAUUUGAUAGUACCUUACUACUGGAAUAACCGGGGUAAUUCUAAAGUUAAUACUUGCUAAAAACCCCAACUUCGGAAGGGGGGUAUUUAUUAAAUAAAAAACCAAUGCCCUUCGGGGCUCCUUGGGGAUUCUUGAUAACUUACCGAAUCGCAUGGCCUUGCGCCGGCGAUGGUUCAUUCAAAUUUCUGCCCUAUCAACUUUCAAUGGUAGGAUAUGGGCCUACCAGGGUAUCAACGGGUAACGGGAAAUUAGGGUUCUAUUCCGGAAAGGAAGCCUGAAAAACGGUUACCACAUCCAAGGAAGGCAGCAGGCGCGCAAAUUACCCAAUCCCGACACGGGAAGGUAGGGACAAUAAAUACUGAUACAGGGUUCUUUUGGGUCUUGUAAUUGGAAUGAGUACAAUUUAAAUACCUUAACAAGGAACAAUUGAAGGGCAAGUCGGGGGCCAGCAGCCGCGGAAAUUCCAGCUCCAAUAGCGAAUAUUAAAGUUGUUGCAGUUAAAAAGCUCGUAGUUGAACCUUGGGCCUGGCUGGCCGGCCCGCCUCACCGCGGGUACUGGUCCGGCCGGGCCUUUCCUCCUGGGAAUCCGCAUGCCCUUCACUGGGUGUGUCGGGAGAACCAGGACUUUUUACUUUUGAAAAAAAUUAAGAGUGUUCAAAGCAGGUCUUUUGCUCGAAAUACAUUAGUGAUGGAAAUAAUAAAAAUAAGGACGUUGCGCCUCCUAUUUUUGUUGGUUUUCUAAGGACCCGCCGUUAAUGAUUAUUAGGGGAUAGUCGGGGGGUCAUCAAUUAUUUCAAGUUGUCAGGAGGGAGAAAUUUCUUGGUAUUUUAUUGGAAAGAACUAAACUACUGG